rnacentral:rRNA from 1 species
ACCAAGGCGACGAUACAUAGCCGACCUGAGAGGGUGAUCGGCCACACUGGGACUGAGACACGGCCCAGACUCCUACGGGAGGCAGCAGUAGGGAAUCUUCGGCAAUGGACGGAAGUCUGACCGAGCAACGCCGCGUGAGUGAAGAAGGUUUUCGGAUCGUAAAGCUCUGUUGUAAGAGAAGAACGAGUGUGAGAGUGGAAAGUUCACACUGUGACGGUAUCUUACCAGAAAGGGACGGCUAACUACGUGCCAGCAGCCGCGGUAAUACGUAGGUCCCGAGCGUUGUCCGGAUUUAUUGGGCGUAAAGCGAGCGCAGGCGGUUAGAUAAGUCUGAAGUUAAAGGCUGUGGCUUAACCAUAGUAGGCUUUGGAAACUGUUUAACUUGAGUGC